rnacentral:rRNA from 1 species
AGCGAACGCUGGCGGCAGGCCUAACACAUGCAAGUCGAACGAAGUCUUCGGACUUAGUGGCGGACGGGUGAGUAACACGUGGGAACGUGCCUUUAGGUUCGGAAUAACUCAGGGAAACUUGUGCUAAUACCGAAUGUGCCCUUCGGGGGAAAGAUUUAUCGCCUUUAGAGCGGCCCGCGUAUGAUUAGCUAGUUGGUGAGGUAAAGGCUCACCAAGGCGACGAUCAGUAGCUGGUCUGAGAGGAUGAUCAGCCACAUUGGGACUGAGACACGGCCCAAACUCCUACGGGAGGCAGCAGUGGGGAAUCUUGCGCAAUGGGCGAAAGCCUGACGCAGCCAUGCCGCGUGAAUGAUGAAGGUCUUAGGAUUGUAAAAUUCUUUCACCAGGGACGAUAAUGACGGUACCCGGAGAAGAAGCCCCGGCUAACUUCGUGCCAGCCGCCGCGGUAACAC